rnacentral:rRNA from 1 species
GAUGAACGCUAGCUACAGGCUUAACACAUGCAAGUCGAGGGGUAACGAGAGGAAAGCUUGCUUUCCUUGUCGACGACCGGCGCACGGGUGAGUAACGCGUAUCCAACCUGCCCCCAACUAGGGAAUAACCUUGCGAAAGUAAGACUAAUACCCUAUAAUUUCCUCAGAUGACAUCUGACGAGGAAUAAAGAUUUAUCGGUUGGGGAUGGGGAUGCGUCUGAUUAGCUUGUUGGCGGGGUAACGGCCCACCAAGGCAACGAUCAGUAGGGGUUCUGAGAAGAAGAUACCCCCAAUUGGACCUGUGACACGGUCCAAACUCCUACGGGAGUCAGCAGUGAGGAAUAUUGGUCAAUGGGCGUAAGCCUGAACCAUCCAAGUAGCGUGCAGGAUGACGGCCCUAUGGGUUGUAAACUUCUUUUAUACAGGAAUAAAGUUAGCCACGUGUGGUUAUUUGUAGGUACUGUAUGAAUAAGGACCGGCUAAUUCCGUGCCAGCAGCCGCCGUAAGAC